UACGAAGGGGGCUAGCGUUGUUCGGAAUUACUGGGCGUAAAGCGUGCGCAGGCGGCUUCUCAAGUCAGUGGUGAAAGCCCGGAGCUCAACUCCGGAACUGCCAUUGAAACUGUUAGACUUGAGGACGAGAGAGGUGAGUGGAAUUCCCAGUGUAGAGGUGAAAUUCGUAGAUAUUGGGAAGAACACCCGUGGCGAAGGCGGCUCUCUGGGACGGUACUGACGCUGAGACGCGAAAGCGUGGGGAGCGAACAGG
rnacentral:rRNA from 1 species